CGGACAGUAGCUGUCUGGUAGAGCUCCCGCUUUAUAUGCGGAAAGGCCUGGGUUCGAUUUCCGGCUGUUUCC
rnacentral:tRNA from 1 species